CUAAUAGUUAUGUGCAUAUUUCUUAAGGAUGAGGCAAUGUAUUAAUUUAGAUUUUCUGUUAAUAAGCACAGGCACACUUGUAUGUGUAACAGGGCCCGACCCUGUCAACCUUUAUGCCUCUGUCAAGGCCUAAUGUUACCCGACGUCAUACAGCAGGCAGCUUCGAAAACAUUUUUUAAAUAUUUCAAAAAAUAUUGCCAUACACAGGCUUCAGGUGACAAUUGACAAAUGCAAAUAAAUUUACAUUUAUGCAUUUGGCAGACACUUUUAUCCAAAGCGACUUAAGUAGUUAUAACGGGCCAGCAUUCGUCAAACUUUUAUGACCCCCUCCCCCACCCGGUGACAGUUGCUAUCUGACAGGUCGUUUUUAUGACCCUUUGACAGGGGGGCGGGGCCAUCAAUCAAAAUCUGUACAAGUUGUCAACUUUAGACAGAAAGUAUUUAAUGGUUUUAUUGCCGGUCAUUUAGAGUGAUUGUUUUUCCUGAGUGUGUUUUAUGUCAAGCGUAUGGUGUCAUGUUUAAUGACGGCUCGUGUUUGUGACAUUUGCUGUCUAGCACCCCUCCCUUUUCGACCCGUGCGCUUCUCACCACUGCGUGUCACACAGUGAUGUGUGUGUUGUUGAAUCUAAAGUUUUGCAACAUCAAAAGUUUAUUUAAAGGCAAUCACUAAUUAUAUAUAUAUAUAUAUAUAUAUAUAUAUAUAUAUAUGUAUGUAUUAGAUGUAGCUGGUUAAACUUAAAGGCCGAUAUUUUCUAUCGAACUAGUCUAUUUUCUGUUCAGACACAAAGUUUUCUGAUGCUGAUAUUAUGUCAGUGUGUGUUUGUGUGGGGGUCGUGUGCUGUAAUCUUUGAAAGUUUAUGACCGAACCUUUAUUGGGGAGCGACAAGAGAUCUCCCGGACUCAGUUUGGAUGGAGCAGAGCUGUUAUACUCAAGUCUAUUGCGAAAUUGUCUAAACUGGUAUUAACUAUUCCUGGUAAAUCGCGGACAAGAGUGGCCUGAACAAAAAAGUCAGCCCGAGACUAGAACCUCCCGCAGCGUAACAAGGAAAUCUUGGAGCAAAGAGACGCCGAGUGGCUCGUGUUGUGCGGUUUGGAUAUCUGCUGCAAUGCGAACGUUGUGUGUACUAUUGCAAAAUAGCGGAUCUCCCCGGUUAGGAUACAGACCACAACGCUUUGGACGUAUCUUUAAAAAAGAGAAAAAUCAGAGACUUUUUGGAUUUGUCUGGGGACAUUUUAAACAUUUUGUGUCAAAUUGGAUUUAAAACAUUUCGGAUACUGGAUACCUAGUUUGAUUUGUCCACAGAUCUUGUUUAAGACGUUUUCACCUCAUUUUAGGGUUUAUUUUUAAUUAAAGGCUUCUUAAAACAUGUAUGAAAAUGUGUAUAUUAUACAAUGAGUCUUAUAUUGUCUGCUCUGACAAAAAUAAAUUAUUAUUUUAGAUCUUA